CUUGUACAAGUUAUCAAAAUACAGUGUUUUUUCACUCAUCUACAAUAAUACAACUGUGCAUAGAAAAUACAUUGCGCGCAUAUAAAUCGAAUAGCUAUUGUCAUCUAAAUCCAUACAUAUAACUCAAAUGAUACAUACUAUACAUCUACCAUAUGAGCUCCUUGAAUUCAUGCGUUACCAAUCAAUUUGAAGAAUAGCAAACCUGCUUUGAUUUUACCGUAAAAAAACAUCGUAUCUCAGACCGAUCUUCUCAACCCGUAAAUGCCGUUCCAUUUUUUCUGACUUAAUUCCUAAAUCUUCGGAACUUUAAAUUCCCAGUCUAUGUACCACUUUGUAGCAGUCCUCUAAAAAAACAAGUAGCCCAAGAAUCUAUCCUCUUCGUCGCCACCCGUACACUGUUUCGUUCCCUUCUCCCUCACACGUAUAUAUAUAUAUGACUGCCUCAAGCUCGAAGCAGCAUCGACCCCUAUUUGCAAGCCAUGCAUCUAAUACUCAGGGAGGAUCUACUAAUCCAUACAUGGUCUAUCAACCUACAAAAAAUGCAUUGGGAAAACUGAAACCUUCAUUUAUCAGCAUGAACCAGUAUUUGAAAAAGAAAAGAGUUCAAAAAAUCCGCAAUCGAUAUCGCCAGCUGUUACUAGAUGAGAAGGCUCCCGACUAUUCCACUCCCUCUGUAUCGAGCCUCACUCCUGAAGUUCCAAAUGUGCGGUUCGGAAAGGAAUCUAUAACCGACGAUAUUUAUAAUAGCACUUUGAGUCAAAUUUCUCAUAAAAAAAAAAACAAAAAGAGAAGCGUAGAAAAGGUAAUUUAGAAACAGCCGAUGUAUCCCAAUAUAACUGCGUGAUCCAGGAAACAGAAAAUAUAAAUGAAAACUCACCUGACGAUCCUCUUUCUCAAAAAAAAUAUUUUGAACAAACUGACAGGCAUCAUAUAGAGCGGGCCCAAUCAUCUGUCGAUCAUCCUCAUACGGAAUCUAAACCCCUUUCAAUCGAUCCUGUGCCAAAAGACCCUUUCUUUAAAGCAAAAAAAACAGUUUGAAGCCAAAAAGUUAAUCCUUGAAAAAAAAAAAUUAGAGCGCGAGGCCAAAGAAAUGGAAUUUAUUAAAAAAAGCAAAGAGCGUAGAAAAAUAUCUAGACGUCUCCGGCGCUAUACCGAUAAAGGCCAGCCGGUUUUGAAACAUCACAUCUAUCACCUGCUUGGUCGAAUCGAAAACAUGGUUGCAGAAAACAAAAUAUAGAAACAAUAGGAUUUAAUAAUUUGAUGCUUCCUCAGGCAACUCUAAUAAUUUACUCUGCUAAUGUUUCCGAAGAUUUUUGCAUCCAUCAACGUGUUCCCCGUAUAAAAUCAUACAAUUGUUCUAAAAACAGUAGCAUCAAGGUGAUUUGACGGUUAUGUUUUUGAAAAAUAUUUUGGCAAAUAAAUUUGAAACAUUUUUGUCUUCACUGACUUUGAAUAACAGAUUAUUAUGGCACAUACGUGCAUAUUCGCCAUAUUUAGUAGGCAAAUAGAUGUGAUUCAAACCAGCGGUCCAUUGUUUUUCCUUUUUACAAUUGCUCUACUUCAUGGCUUCGUGAUACUCGCCGCUAAAGUAAUUCGCAUAUGCAUAAAUUUGUAUAGGGCUUUAACAGUUACCUCAAAUCUAAAAAAAUACUAUCGUUCCGGAUAUUGGGCUGUGAUUACUGGUGCAACCGAUGGAAUUGGUCUAGCGUUUGCCAAGCAACUGUAUCAUCGAGACUGGAACUUACUGCUGAUAGGCAGAAACCAAAGCAAACUCGAAUCCCUAAUCAAAAGCAAUUUUUCUGCUAAGCAGAACUUAGUAAAAACGUUUGUUCUAGACUUUUCCAAGGCUACUGAUGAUGAUUAUAACAGACUCAGCGAGGCGAUAAAAGAUAAAGAUAUUGGACUUUUGAUAAAUAAUGUUGGCACAAGUCAUGAAUACCCAUCUUUCUUUGCCGAAAUGCCAAAAAAUUUAUUAACAGAAAUGGUUUACACAAAUGCAAUUAGUGCUCUAAGGAUGACAUACAUUGUUCUGCCCCCAAAUGUUAUGCCAAAAGCGUGGGCUGGUUCUUAAUGUUAGUUCCGCAUCAAUGCUUCUCCCAACUUCUCCUUUACUUUCUAUAUAUGCAGCUACCAAAGCAUUUCUAACCAACUGGUCUCUAAGUCUACAUCAGGAAUACAAAAACAAAAAUAUAUUCUUCGAAGUGAUAACGCCUUUUUAUGUAUCUACAAAGAUGAGCAAAGUAAAAAGUACAAGUCUGUUUGUUCCGUCUCCAGACACAUACGCGAAAUCCGUUUUAGACAGAAUUGGUAAUUAUCGGCAACACUGUGGAUAUAUCUGGCACGAUUUACAGGGCUACUUAGUCAAAUGUGUUCCUGAGCAAUUGGUAAAUAGAUUCACCACCAAUUAUUUACUCAAAAUUCGCAAAAAGGCCUUGGCAAAUUUAGCCAAAAAUAAGUAGAGCCAUUAUCCUUGUGACGUGUUUAAUUAAAUAUAGUUUCAAACCUCUUUGACAUAUUGUCUCCGUUGCAUGUCAAGUAAGUCCGUAGUAUAGGCAUCAACUAAGGGCUUUGUGAGGAUACUACAUAUUUACACCUUCAUGUAGGAGAAUAAAUAUUCUUCAACGUAAAGGUUCCAGAGCAUGUAAAAACGUACUUUAGACUGUAAGCUCAGUUUUUUUAAA